AUUGAACGCUGGCGGCAGGCCUAACACAUGCAAGUCGAGCGCGCGGCGGACGGGUGAGUAAUGUCUGGGAAACUGCCUGAUGGGGGGGGGUAACUACUGGAAACGGUAGCUAAUACCGCAUACCAUCAGAUGUGCCCAGAUGGGAUUAGCUAGUAGGUGGGGGAACGGCUCACCUAGGCGACGAGCCCUAGCUGGUCUGAGAGGAUGACCAGCCACACUGGAACUGAGACACGGUCCAGACUCCUACGGGAGGCAGCAGUGGGGAAUAUUGCACAAUGGGCGCAAGCCUGAUGCAGCCAUGCCGCGUGUGUGAAGAAGGCCUUCGGGUUGUAAAGCACUUUCAGCGGGGAGGCGUUACCCGCAGAAGAAGCACCGGCUAACUACGUGCCAGCAGCCGCGGUAAUAC
rnacentral:rRNA from 1 species